UAGGGAAUCUUCGGCAAUGGACGGAAGUCUGACCGAGCAACGCCGCGUGAGUGAAGAAGGUUUUCGGAUCGUAAAGCCCUGUUGUAAGAGAAGAACGAGUGUGAGAGUGGAAAGUUCACACUGUGACGGUAUCUUACCAGAAAGGGACGGCUAACUACGUGCCAGCAGCCGCGGUAAUACGUAGGUCCCGAGCGUUGUCCGGAUUUAUUGGGCGUAAAGCGAGCGCAGGCGGUUAGAUAAGUCUGAAGUUAAAGGCUGUGGCUUAACCAUAGUAGGCUUUGGAAACUGUUUAACUUGAGUGCAAGAGGGGAGAGUGGAAUUCCAUGUGUAGCGGUGAAAUGCGUAGAUAUAUGGAGGAACACCGGUGGCGAAAGCGGCUCUCUGGCUUGUAACUGACGCUGAGGCUCGAAAGCGUGGGGAGCAAACAGGAUUAGAUACCCUGGUAGUCCACGCUGUAAACGAUGAGUGCUAGGUGUUAGACCCUUUCCGGGGUUUAGUGCCGUAGCUAACGCAUUAAGCACUCCGCCUGGGGAGUACGACCGCAAGGU
rnacentral:rRNA from 1 species